rnacentral:rRNA from 1 species
UACGUAGGGCGCAAGCGUUGUCCGGAAUUAUUGGGCGUAAAGCGCACGUAGGCGGCUUUGUAAGUUAGAGGUGAAAGCCCGGGGCUCAACUCCGGAAUUGCCUUUAAGACUGCAUCGCUAGAAUUGUGGAGAGGUGAGUGGAAUUCCGAGUGUAGAGGUGAAAUUCGUAGAUAUUCGGAAGAACACCAGUGGCGAAGGCGACUCACUGGACACAUAUUGACGCUGAGGUGCGAAAGCGUGGGGAGCAAACAGG